GGCUGUUAUAUAGCUUCUGUAAUAACCCUAGGAAGGGCAUGAAUGAAUUAUCAAGUUAAAUUUUCUUUUUUAUCUUAAGUUUUUACUUUUUAGGCUUAGUUCGUAGGAAACCCUAGUUACAACCUAACAAAAAAUGAGUGUCUAGUUCAGGAGAAAUGGAAAAGAAAUAGAAAUAUUGUAAUUCAAUCUCUUAGCAAAUUCACAUGUCUGAGAUGCAGAUGGUGUUUGAAAUGGAUUGGCAACCCCUUAAUAGAGUGACAAUUUGUUGUUGAGAGUGUGUGAAAGACAAUUAUGGCUUGAGAUUGGGGAGCUCCAAUGCCUAAGGUAGAUGAGCUACAAGUCCACAAUCACACCCACCAAAGGGUAUGUUUCUUACUGCAGUACAAGUCCUACUUCAUGGCUCUUCAGUUUUCUCUUGUAUGCAAGGUACUGUUCAAAUUAGAUUGACCAAUCCUUCUGAGCCGUUGUUGAGCACUCAUGAGGUUGAACACGGGGCAAAGGGGAACAAGAGCAACAAGAGGAGAAGGGGAAUCAGAGCACUUCAAGUUGGUCACCGUCAGGCUCGGGACAGUAAACAAGCGCUUCCUGGGAGGCAACCCAGAGAUCUGAACUGUGUUUUUAUGUGUUUUUCAAUUACUUGUUGUUUUUAACUUUGAUUGUUUAUGAUUAUGUUAUAAUUGUAGUUUAUACUAGGUAUUGGGACUUGUUUUGUGAUUGUUUAUGUUCUGUGAUACGUAUGUUGUAUCGUAUUAUAUGUGUUUUGUGUUAGGUAUUAAUUGUGUGAAUCUUGCUUGAGUGGGUUAAUAUAGAUUAGAAUAUGUUAAGAG